rnacentral:rRNA from 1 species
ACUCAAAGGAAUAGACGGGGACCCGCACAAGCAGUGGAGUAUGUGGUUUAAUUCGAAGCAACGCGAAGAACCUUACCAGGGCUUGACAUCCCCUGCAUAGCAUAGAGAUAUGUGAAGUCCUUCGGGACAGGGAGACAGGUGGUGCAUGGUUGUCGUCAGCUCGUGUCGUGAGAUGUUGGGUUAAGUCCCGCAACGAGCGCAACCCUUGCUGCCAGUUGCCAUCAUUAAGUUGGGCACUCUGGCGGGACUGCCGGUGAUAAAUCGGAGGAAGGUGGGGAUGACGUCAAAUCAUCAUGCCCCUUAUGUCCUGGGCUACACACGUACUACAAUGGACGUUACAACGGGAAGCUAAGGAGCAAUCCGGAGCAAAUCCUAAAAAAGCGUCCUCAGUUCGGAUUGCGGGCUGAAACCCGCCCGCAUGAAGUUGGAAUUGCUAGUAAUGGCAGGUCAGCAUACUGCCGUGAAUACGUUCCCGGGUCUUGCACACACCGCCCGU